GCUUCCAUCUUUUGUUCUUUUUGUGAAAGAACAGAAAGACACACUGACCCUCCUAAAAUCCUCCCCCCACCCAAACUCUGGCAAUUCUUUAGUUUUGCUGUGAAUAUGUUGAUGGGAGCAGUUCUGAGUUAUACCUUUCAAAUCCUGGGGCAUUGCAAAGCCCAGCUGCCUGUGGACUUGGGAGAGCAGGCUUUAUGCUCGCACGCACACACACACACACUCACACCGGCAACAGAAAUCAACCCCUUUAACAUGCUGGCUAAUCCAUUUUUUUUCUUGUUUUUCAAGGUAAAUUUCAACCACUCCUGUCAGUGUCACUCACCAGUUUGAUAGUUUGCAACCUGAGGUGGUCCUGGUUUGGGGAGUAUAUCCAUCCAGCCAGAAGCACUAGCAAGAUAGUCUCUCCUGACUCAGGGAAAAAGCUGUCCUAGGGUGAACCUCAACGACACCUGAACAGAAAAUGACAAAAUGUGCAAAGUUUACAGAAAGUGAAGGAGCCACUCUGAAAUCAAGAUUCACAAUACCAAGGCACAGACAUGAAAAUGAAAAAUUAAAAUGAAGGAAGUGAAGGAGGAGCAGCUCCCCCAUGGACGUCGAUGGGAGUUCUACACUCAAAAGCACUGAAGCAAUGGCAAUAAAGAUCUACAGUGUACAAAGGAAAAAAAUACAUGACAACCACCACCAACAACAUAAAACCUGCUUAGCAUGGGCACUGAGCAGGGAAUUUCUACCCUUAGCAACCAGAGCAGGAAUGCAGGGUAGACACCAAGUGAGCCAGUCUAUUUGUUGGUCCCCCUAAAAUUCCAGCCCAAGUCAAUGGAUGGCAAAUCUGGCAGCACAUUGAAUCACCUGGGGAGCUUUAAAAACAUAAUAGUACCCCAAACCCACCCCCAGAGAUUCUGAUUUAAUUGAUCUGAGGAGGAGUUUGGGCAUUGGUGUCUUUGAAAAGCUUCCCUGGUGAUUCUAAUGUGCAGUGGAGUUGAGAUUCACUAUUCACAUUCUGAAAUUGCUUGGCAGGUUUUGCAUCUGGACCACAGAGAGCAGGUGGUCAUCAGACCUGCCCCUUAGCACUGUCACAGGAACUGGGGAUGCAGGUGGAAUUAAAUCUUUGUUCAUGAAAACUGUUGAGAAAAUAAAGUAUUGAUCUUACUUGAGAGACUUUUAUGUUAGUCAAUUAAAUUAGUACUGUACCUUUCUACUAGUAAAAUAAGAGUACCAUUACUAUAUGGAAAUAUAAUGUUCCAUAAUAUUUUUAUUGUGAGACAGGGGACAUGUCUUACUGCUCUCAAAUGUACAGUUUAUGCAAGACUAUAAAGUUAGCUGUAAUCCAUAAACAGGCGAUAUAGAUCUUAGAUAUCUCUUUUAAGAUCAGUUGGAAGGAAAAUUCCUUAUUCCUUAGCAACACCAUAGGAAGCAGGAUUGCCUCCAAGAAAAAAAAAUCCUUAUCUUUCCUAAUUAUUCCACAUGAAAAGGCAAUAGAACAUUCCAUUUUUCUAAUAUUUGAAGGGGAAUAAACAUGCUUUUGAUUGUUCUCAUGUAUGAAUAUUGUUCAAGUAUUGAAAAUGAAAACUGAAAAAUAUUUAUUUAAUUUUUGUUAUUUUUUUCUGUGCUACUUACUCAGCUCCCCUGCAGCAAGAAUCAGAGAUAUAUUUUCUCUGAAUGUCAUAUGCUACAGUAGAAAACAACACAGUAUGUAGGAAGGUUACGUGUUUCCUGGGUUGUUGAGGGGCUGAUAGUUUCAAGCACGGUACAAAUAGGCAUUUUACUUGAGCAUUUUCACUUUAGGCUAUUUGGAAAUGUGUCAUUUAAAAUGUGGAAUCCUGGCACAAGAUUUUCACACUGAAAUUUCUUCAAAACUAUCUAAAAUGUGUCUUAUUUGUGAAAAUGCAUCUUAUUAAUCCAUUGUGAUAUAAAAUAACAGCUGCUAAUAUGAUUUUAAAGUUUGUAAUAAAGUGCAUCAAAAUGUCUAUAGAACGGAUCGUGACAGCACAGCCAACAAGCGAUAUUUCAGGGACUUUUAAUAUGUGCGUGAAAUGCCAACAUGGCAGAAAAGAAAAACUCCCAAAUGUAUCUUUCUUGAUUUUGACAUUUAUUCUCCCAAUUUGGACCCCAUAAAUGUCCCAGACUUUUUUUUUGUUAGACAGGAAGAAGGUAAUAGUAUUGAUGUUAACAUAAAAGCUACAGUCUCAGUGCCAGUCUGUAUCAGUUAGCUAUUGCUACAAACAUGCUGUGUAACAAACCCUGUAGCUUAGUUACUUAAAAUAAUAUAUUCAAUUUUCUGGGUGUCAGAUGGGCUUUGGCGUGGCUACACACUGUGGUUUGGGUCUAUUUCUGUUGUAGGAGCCUCUCAUAUUUUUAGGUCUGUAGUUAACCAAGGCAUGGUUUUCUCAUGGCAAUAGCACAAGUGCAAGAGAAAUUAGUGGAAACAGAAAAUGUUGUAAGGCCUUGGCAUGUACUGGCUCAUUGUCAUAUCCACCUAUGUUCCACUGGCUGAAACAAAUCACAUGGUCAGAGGUCAUCUGAAUGAUGGAGGGCCAGGGGAAUGUACACCGGUAUUACUGGGAUGAAUUGCAUCAGGAGACAACUGUUGUUUUGGUCAUGAGAGGACAGGGUUCUGGUAUGACUGUGGCUUUUCUUUUUAAAUUAACAAUGUGAUAGUCACUUAACCAUACCUAUUGAUAGAAUUUUUAGUGCUAGAUUGUCAUAGUUAAAACCAUACCUCUAACAACUACAGACUUUUUGACUUUGAGCACAUUACUUAAUCAUCUGUUCUUUAGUUUCCUCAUCUAUAAAUGUAUGUAAUAAUAAUGCCUAACACAAAGAGUUGUACAAGGAUGAAAUGAAUUAGUAUAUGUAAGAAUUACCUUAGAAAAUCAAUAGUCAUCUUCAGCCAGAGUAUUAUGUGACAUUCCAGUCUUCCUUCUAAAAUUCGCUGUAUUGUUUCUGAAAUAUAAAUUUCCAGAGGACAGGAGCUAUGCCUACUUUAUAUACUGUGUAUAUUUUCCAGUAAAUCAUCAUAUUUACAAGUAGUCUAAUCUAUUAUUUGGGGUAAUUAUGAUGGCUAAACACAAAUAACAAUUGCUUACCAUCCACAUGAUUCCCUCUGUCCAAAUGCAUUUAUGCCAACCCCUUGACUACAUAUACCUUUCCU